GCUCUCUGGUGCUUCUCAGAGUUCACACUGUUGAUAGAAAGGAGGGGCCCUCACCGAUCCCUAAUUUACUUCAAACUUUAUUAACUGUUAAAACGUGGCUGGGGAAGGCGAACCUGAGGAGGUGAACCCAUAGCCCAUGUGUGGGAACACAGGCUCUUCCAGCUCUCUGUACUGACAGCAGGGGGCAGGGGAUGGGUGUCAAUGCAGGCUGAUAUUUUACUUUCUACAGAACCUCUGGUAACAUUUUAACUUCCCUAAGCUUCAGUUUCCUCAUCUGCCAGUGGAAGCCAGUGACAUUGUCAGUGUCCCUGGACAAGUAAGGGAGUUCACAAGGCACCGGUCUGUGGAAAUCCCUGGCUAGUCACUGUCAUCACAGCCACUAGUCCAUAGAUGACGUCUCCCUAGGGGAACAUCACUAUUAUCUUUAAAAUGUAGUCAUGCAUCACUCUUCCCUCUCAGGUCCAUCCUGUCAUCUGGGAAAGAGGGCUGAGGACUGGAUUUUACAUGCCAUGUUCCAUUGGCAUGGGCUGAACCACUACUGUUUAUUGAGCAAUGCACACAGGUGAUGAUGACCAAGACAGACAGACACUCUAGUUCUACCAACCUCGCUAUCUGUAUUAGUGACUUUUCGUCUUGAUGCAACAAAAUACCCAUCAAAGGAACUUAAUGGAAGGAAGGGCUUGUCCUGGCUCACAGUUCAAGGGUCCCCCCUCCUUCUGCUCUGCUGGCGCUCGACCCAGAAGGCAGAGUCUCUCAAUCAAGCCAGAGCCCACCAUUUGGCUGGUAUUGCUUCUCAACUUAUUCUAGGAACCUCCCUAAGCACGGAUCUAUCUCUAUUUCCUGUUUCUUCUUGGUCUUUUUGAGGUAGAGUCUCACUAUAUAGUCCAAAUUGGCCUGUUCCUGCCUCUGGGUGACUGGGGUUCCAUAUGUAGACCAUUAAGACUGCUUUUGCUGUCGUUUUAAAAGCUCCAAACAGCCUCAGUUUCCCUCUCUGGGAAACGAGGGUAAUGGUGCCUCCUGUAUCAGGCUAUGAUGGCGGUGGAAAGAUUCUGUGAUAACUUCACAGAGCCCGGCCAGAUGACAGCUGGUCCUGUGAUUGCAAGCAGGCAUGCCCUAGGGAGGAGGUGGUAGUUAAAGACCUGUUCUCGGGGAUCAACUGGAAAGCACACAGAACCCCCGAAGUAGCUGGCCCAGCUGAGCCCCACUCUCUUUACCACAUCCCUUCUCUCCUUCACUGAGGCUUAGGACCUCUAUCUCUAGAUAGUUCUAGUUCUUUCUCUGUAAUAAAUAUUUGUCAUCUGCAGCCUUAAUCAAUCACAGUGAGAGGCAUAUCUGUGAAGUGUGCAGCCAAGGUCCUUGGAAGGUCCUGGAGGCGAAGUUGGAGAGGAAGUACUGGCCUGAGGCCAAGGGCAGCAAAGAGUGAAAAGGGGCCGGGGACAGUGUACAGAGCAGUGGCUGGCUUGUCUCCACUAUCAGACUUUACUCCAGGAGGAGGCAGAGGCCGUGUGAGAGCCGUGCCGCUUCACCUGGCUCCUGACCUAUAUUGGAAGUGACAAACACGGGCUCCGAAAUGCUUACAAGGCACCUUGCCGGCAAGCACUGUGAAGUGAAAAUGAGACUAGAUGCUGAGCAAGUCCCACAAACUGUGUGCCCAAGCUCUGGACAGAGCAGAUAGACACAGUCUUCCUCUGAACUAUGCUUGCUGCAGUCCCUCCACCAGCAUGGAGAAGAAGCUCACAAGGACUGUCCUUCAAGCCUAUAUCCAUGCUCAGCUGUGCCAGCAUCUCUGGGCCUCAGGAACACCGAAGUCCUCAUUCUGAGCCAGGUAGGCCCACACAUGUCCC
rnacentral:lncRNA from 1 species